GAUGAACGCUGGCGGCGUGCCUAAUUCAUGCAAGUCGAGCGAACAGACGAGGAGCUUGCUCCUCUGACGUUAGCGGCGGACGGGUGAGUAACACGUGGAUAACCUACCUAUAAGACUGGGAUAACUUCGGGAAACCGGAGCUAAUACCGGAUAAUAUAUUGAACCGCAUGGUUCAAUAGUGAAAGACGGUUUUGCUGUCACUUAUAGAUGGAUCCGCGCCGCAUUAGCUAGUUGGUAAGGUAACGGCUUACCAAGGCGACGAUGCGUAGCCGACCUGAGAGGGUGAUCGGCCACACUGGAACUGAGACACGGUCCAGACUCCUACGGGAGGCAGCAGUAGGGAAUCUUCCGCAAUGGGCGAAAGCCUGACGGAGCAACGCCGCGUGAGUGAUGAAGGUCUUCGGAUCGUAAAACUCUGUUAUUAGGGAAGAACAAAUGUGUAAGUAACUAUGUACGUCUUGACGGUACCUAAUCAGAAAGCCACGGCUAACUACGUG
rnacentral:rRNA from 1 species